CAGCCGCCGCGGGAAUACGGAGGGUGCAAGCGUUAAUCGGAAUUACUGGGCGUAAAGCGCACGCAGGCGGUCUGUCAAGUCAGAUGUGAAAUCCCCGGGCUUAACCUGGGAACUGCAUUCGAAACUGGCAGGCUAGAGUCUUGUAGAGGGGGGUAGAAUUCCAGGUGUAGCGGUGAAAUGCGUAGAGAUCUGGAGGAAUACCGGUGGCGAAGGCGGCCCCCUGGACAAAGACUGACGCUCAGGUGCGAAAGCGUGGGGAGCAAACAGGAUUAGAUACCCCUGUAGUCCCUGUCUCUUAUAC
rnacentral:rRNA from 1 species